UUCGGGAAACCAUUCCUCCUCCUGCACGCGACCGAGCCGGAACGCAGAAAAACAGAGCAAAGGAGCUCCGGCCGGGUUCUCCGCCCUCCGGCCACCAAACGACGCCAGACCACCUCCCUUGCCUUCGCCUCGACUACCUGCAGCUGCUGGACGUGGUAUUUUCCACCGGCACGGCCUGAAAACCGGUGAAUCCGAGGUGGUCCGAUCUGAGCUCAAAACGGAGUCAACUCCGAUAUCUCUUGAUUCCGACCACCAAUCUUCAAUUUUCUUGGCUUUUUGAACUCGCCUCAGCCUUCUUAUCAAAACCCAAGAAGGAUCGCUCAACAGGUGGACGUUUUCAAGCUCGUCGGAGCCUCGUCGGAAAACUGGAAAACAAAUCCGGCCACCUCGACUGUUUAGGUGAUUGACGGUCUUCCUUGGUUAGCGGUUGUGGCGUGUUUUGUAAAAAUUGAAGACGCAGCGGGAUUAGAGCGGGAAAUCUUGCAGGUUAGGAGAAUCAGGGCGGUGAUCGUGCGGGUUAGAGUAAUAGUUAUAGUUUUACAGUGAUUGUAAUAGCGAGGUGAGGGAUGCUCGAUUUGAGCUUUACAUGUUUACUUUGUUUUUAAGCGAGUUGUAAUAAUUAAUUUGAGAUUUGAAAUUUGAGUGACUUAAGUUGUAGCUGAUAUUCAUGUUCUGGAUUUGAAUUGUUUAUUCAAAA